rnacentral:rRNA from 1 species
AUGGAUGAGUCUACGAUUGGGAGAAUUAGACGUAGAGUGCCUAUGCUUGACGGAGAGUUCUUUAUUGCUUGGAAAAAUGAGAUGCUUGAGAUUUUCAAUGAAUAUCACUUGAACAAGUACAUUACUACCCCUUGUGUGCCCCUUGUUGACCCCUUGCAUCCUACCCCUGAUGAUUCCCUUGAUAUGAUUCGCAAACUUAGAACUAUCAAUCUUAUCACUAGAGGAUUACCUAGAAACUUGAUUGCUCGCUUGCCAACUCUUGAAUGUUCUUACACUAUAUGGAGAUUUCUUGAGGAAAGAUUUCCAGACUAUUCCUUAAAAAACUUAGAUGAGAUUCUUCACAAGUCUAUUGCUUUGAAUAAGAUGAAUCCCAAUGACCCUAAGUUUGGUGAUUGUCUAUUUGAGCUUCGUGACCUUAUGCGUGCCAAAGGAGAUGUUGGAAUCAUUAGCAAUAUCAUUUCUGAAGUCAUUAGAAUUGAUAGAGAUGCAAAUUGUCAUGAUCACAAAACUAAUGAAUCACUCUCUCUUGGAAAUGAUCAAUCACAAGAUGAUGUUGAACAUGGAUACUAUGUUUAG